rnacentral:rRNA from 1 species
AGUGAACGCUGGCGGUAGGCCUAACACAUGCAAGUCGAACGGCAGCACAGUAAGAGCUUGCUCUUACGGGUGGCGAGUGGCGGACAGGUGAGGUAUACAUCGGAACCUACUUUUUCGUGGGGGAUAACGUAGGGAAACUUACGCUAAUACCGCAUACGACCUACGGGUGAAAGCAGGGGAUCUUCGGACCUUGCGCGAUUGAAUGAGCCGAUGUCGGAUUAGCUAGUUGGCGGGGUAAAGGCCCACCAAGGCGACGAUCCGUAGCUGGUCUGAGAGGAUGAUCAGCCACACUGGAACUGAGACACGGUCCAGACUCCUACGGGAGGCAGCAGUGGGGAAUAUUGGACAAUGGGCGCAAGCCUGAUCCAGCCAUACCGCGUGGGUGAAGAAGGCCUUCGGGUUGUAAAGCCCUUUUGUUGGGAAAGAAAAGCAGCAGGUUAAUACCCCGCUGUUCUGACGGUACCCAAAGAAUAAGCACCGGCUAACUUCGUG